UACGUAGGGGGCAAGCGUUAUCCGGAUUUACUGGGUGUAAAGGGAGCGUAGACGGUUAAUCAAGUCAGAAGUGAAAACCCAGGGCUCAACCUUGGGACUGCUUUUGAAACUGAGUAGCUAGAGUGCAGGAGAGGUAAGCGGAAUUCCUAGUGUAGCGGUGAAAUGCGUAGAUAUUAGGAGGAACACCAGUGGCGAAGGCGGCUUACUGGACUGUAACUGACGUUGAGGCUCGAAAGCGUGGGGAGCAA
rnacentral:rRNA from 1 species